rnacentral:rRNA from 1 species
GACGAACGCUGGCGGCGUGCUUAACACAUGCAAGUCGAACGGAAAGGCCCUGCUUUUGUGGGGUGCUCGAGUGGCGAACGGGUGAGUAACACGUGAGUAACCUGCCCUUGACUUUGGGAUAACUUCAGGAAACUGGGGCUAAUACCGGAUAGGAGCUCCUGCUGCAUGGUGGGGGUUGGAAAGUUUCGGCGGUUGGGGAUGGACUCGCGGCUUAUCAGCUUGUUGGUGGGGUAGUGGCUUACCAAGGCUUUGACGGGUAGCCGGCCUGAGAGGGUGACCGGCCACAUUGGGACUGCGAUACGGACCAGACUCCUACGGGAGGCAGCAGUGGGGAAUAUGGCACAAUGGGCGGAAGCCUGAUGCAGCAACGCCGCGUGCGGGAUGACGGCUUUCGGGUUGUAAACCGCUUUCGCCUGUGACGAAGCGUGAGUGACGGUAAUGGGUAAAGAAGCACCGGCUAACUACGUG